AGGGCUGUAGCUCAGUAGUGAAGCACUUGUCUUGCAAGUAUGAGGCACUGGGUUCAAUUCUCAGCACCACAU
rfam:Ictidomys tridecemlineatus contig008929, whole genome shotgun sequence.